UGCUACAAGUUGGAUGCCAACCUGGCCAGU
rnacentral:piRNA from 1 species